UCAAGCUGUGCCCAAGGCCUGGCCCUCCUCGUCUCUCCCUUUGGCCCUGGCACCAGAGGGGCCAUCCGUCCCUGGUCCCAAGGAGCCAUCGUGGUGAUGGUUUCAUUUUAGGAGUUAGCUGCCAUCCUUCGGGCUGAGGCAGACAGACGGGUGGUGGGGUGAAUGGCCCUGUCCCCAGGGAGACUGCAGGACAGGACGGGACACGGAGCUCACGCAGUCCCCGUGCACCUGUACAGCCCUCACAGGAAGUCGUCAUGAACACCGGUGAAGAGAGAGUCCAGUGGCCUCCUGCUGCCCGACUGGCCCCGGGCCCCUGAAAGUUCCGGGAGAUGGUCUUCCUCACCUGGUGCACGGUUGCUGCUCACUUACGUUCCUUUUGCUACCUUCAAGCUUUUUGCCUUUGGAGGAAAGAAGAAAAUAAUAAAUAAGUACUUAAUUUUUUCCUUUUUGGUGAAAAACUGGGAAGCCCCGCAGUGAAUUCUUUGGGCAAAGCCGGCCAGGAACGGAGUCAGGCACGUCAUGGGCUUCCGAAACGGGAUCACACGGCCACGCCGUGGCCACACACUGCUUCUUCCUCUUUCCCAGGGCUCCACACGUGGCGGGACAGAGCUUCGUGUCCCACCUGUUGGAUUCACGAUUCACGCGGGCCCGAGGCCCAGCAGCCACCACGUUUGCUCUGCGACCUGGGAAGACAACCCCUCUGGCAGGACACCUGGAGUCCCAGCUUGGCAGGAGUCUCCCUUCAACCAGGAAAAUGCAGUGUGUGUAGGAGGCGGAGAACACAAGCCCGAGGCCACCUCCUUUCCAUUCCUCCAGGAACAAACACCAACCAGCAAGCGACAGAAGCUUCCAGUGAGGAGGGUCCCUGGCCUCCCGGAUCUGCAGGCUGGGGACAGAGGAGGGGCCCACGGAGGCAGGCUUUUCUGGGUGUCCGCUCAGGUGAGGCGAUGUGAAACAGGCUUGGGGAAUCACAUCCUUCCUGCUUUUGUUUCUGAGUCUUGGAGAAUGAGCUGAGUUUAAUGUUGAAAAUAAUCUUCGACUUUCAAAAUCAAAGACGAUUCUUCUGCAAACAUUUGUCUGCAAACUCUGAGGAGAGUCCUGGUGCGAAGCCCGAGACCGCGCUCUCUCUGCGCUUAUAGCCAGCUGACCUCGAGUGUGGCCCUGACCGCGACCACACCCACCUGCAGACUCGGGCACAGCACCCGUGUUCUCAGAGGCUUCAUCUGGAGGCCUGUAUGAUAUAACACAUGUUAGUGUGCUUUGUGAGUCUAAAUUUGGACACAAA